UUUCCGUAGGUGAACCUGCGGAAGGAUCAUUCAUAAUAAAGUGUUUUAUAGCACUUUUUAAAAAUCCAUAUCCACCUUGUGUGCAAUGUUAGAUCUCGUCAAUCUUGGCGAGAUUUUUAUACAUCAACUCAUUCUUUAACUAAUUUGUCUGAAAAAUAUUAUGAAUACUUAAUUCAAAAUACAACUUUCAACAACGGAUCUCUUGGCUCUC
rnacentral:misc_RNA from 1 species